CUCUGUCUAACUGUAUUAGAGUUAACUGGCUGCCUGUCCUCUCAACUGGUGUUCAGUGUCUUGACUGGUCUUCCAUUGAUCCCAUGGCUUUCCCCGUCCCUGCCCCCACCUUAUAGUUGAGCCUUACACUCUGUCCUCCUCUCCACUAGGGGGCGUUGUGUGGAGGUGACCGUGCAGUACUCCUGUUCCUUCCUGAGGCCAAUGGAGGCGGUGCUACUGCUGACAUCACGCUCUGCCUCCUCAGUCAGUCCCUCUGGAGCCACUCUGGCCUUCAGCCUCAAGACCCAGGUCACACACAUCACCCCCAGCUCUUUCUACAGAUAGGUUGAAUGGUGGAACUGACUGUGGUGAGUGGGAGGACAGUGACCUUCACUGUGAUCCUGCAGAUGAGUGUGGUGUCAAUGAGUUCUUCAGUCCUGUCAGGAGUGUGAGUCUGGCGGCUGGACAGACAGAAACCAUAGAGCUCCACUACCUGCCCUUCCACCUGGGGAAAAGACACUGCUCCGUCCUGCUAGUCAGCCAGCAGGUUGGUGAGCAGGUGUAUCUUGUGGAGGGGACAGCAGAUCUUCCCCUGUCCUCCCCUCUGACCACAAAGCCCAGUCCUAAUGUAGUCCAUGUUAGCAGCGCCACCUCUGGUGAGUACUGGUACUGAACACAUCUGCAGAGUCAUGAUGACUGUACUGAGGCGGCAGGUUGCCUAGCUUUAAUGAGCGUUGGGCCAGUAACCGAAAGGUCGCAGGUUCGAACCCCCG
rnacentral:lncRNA from 13 species